AUGGUCUCCGGCUCUCGGUCCGGGUGUACCGGCCUCCUGGGGGGCGUCCCAGAGGCCUCAGCACAGACGGUGGUGCUGCAAGGACCAGCCACAGACGGGACAGGGUCCAGGUGCCCUGGCGGAGCAUCCCUGGGACAGACGGGGCUGCCAGCGUCCCCUGUAGGCAGUGCCUGCUCUCUGCAUCCCGCUGACCUGGGCUCCACCCCAGCCCACCCCCGGGAAUAUAAACGCACCAGGGAAAUGAUGCAACAAGGGAGCACCCCCUCGCCGGGCAACCAGAACCAGCAGGCGGCUUCGGGAACACCAUCCACGAGCCGGGAGGGCCCCGGGGCACCCGGAGCAGGAAUCUGACCGGAGGGAGGCCUCGGCCAGGAACUCAGGGAACACACUCCUGAGACGGGAGGCCAGGUCGAGAUAGGCAGCAAAGACACCAGGAAAGGCCAGAGUAGAGUGGAAACCGGAGCGGGGAAGGCUCAGAGACAGGAACGAGACACACAGGGGUCAGGGUGGAGAGCUGGGCCAGAGCCAGAGGCGGGGCAGGGACGCAAAGGGGAGCGCGUUUCAAGAGUCAGAGAAGGAGAAUGCCUUCAUCGCGCGGGAAGAGGAACGGCCUCGGGCUGGAAGGGUAAACAGGCACACAUGCACAUCACCAGGAGAUCGGGGGCAUCAGAGAGAAAGAUAAAACUCUAGACGGUCACAGCAAAUCUGUUAACCUCUGAGACAGCUGCUAUCAGAUGAUCCAGGCCCGGCGAAACUCUGCAAACCAGUGUUUUCAGAGGUCUGAAAGAAAGUAAACUAACCUAGAAUUUCAAACCAGCAACCAAAUGUGAGGUGGGGAGCUUGCGGGUGACCCCAAUGUGUCCUUGAAAACAGCGUCCCAGAAACGCUGAAGAAAAGGGGGAGGAACGCAGGUGGACUGCAGGCCCCCAGGAGUGCACACGGGCCCUGAAGCCAGAGGCCCACAGAGACGGGUGCGGCCGCGAGCCUGGGCAGAGCUGAGGAGGCCACAGUGGGCAGGCCGGGGGCGUCCAGGCGGAGGGGCCUGAAGGGAAACUGCUGCGACAGAGGCAGUGAGGGACGUCAGAAACUUCCAGAAGGAUGUUUCCCUUGCUAGGACUUCUACAAAUUGAAUCAAAGCCACACGAAACGUCCUCUCAGUCCUGCCAGCGGGAAAAUGGGACGGCAAGGAUGGCCACGGCCUUGGUGGGGGCGGGGGGUCCAGGGACCCUGCACAUGGGGCCUGAGGUUUGAUCCUGCUCUGGGGGAGCAGGGGGCGGGGCUUGGCAGAAAAUGUUAAAGGUCUUUGUAGGUUGAAUUCCCUUUGCCCCAUAAAUUCCAGUUUUAGGAAUUU
rnacentral:lncRNA from 1 species